rnacentral:lncRNA from 1 species
UUUAUAAGCCCUAGUUCAACGAAUGCAUUUUUAUUCCUCCUUUUUGCCUAAAAUUUGCCGCGCUCGCUCUCUUCCUCCCACCUGCGAUUCCCUUUUCCCUCUCCCUCUUCACUGGCGACUCCCUUUUUCUUCUUCACCAGCGACAUUCCCUCUCUCACUUCAUUUCUCUAUUCCUCUCCAUUGCCCACAUAUACACACAACGUGGAGAAAAUAGAGGAUUUGGGCGUGAGGAGGUGAAUGGAGGAGGCUUGAUUUGGCGUGAGGAAGCGAAUGGAGGAGGCUUGAUUUGGUUGUUUGGUAAGUUACUCUCACAACCACUGCUAUACUCACACACAUACACCCACCCACUGCUAUACACAUACAAACACACAUUAUCACACACAGUAUACACACACCCACUGUCAAUUAAUUGUGCACGCAGUGGGGGGAGGGGAAAUAUACAACAAUUGAAUUAGAAUCCAUUAUUUUUUUAUAUAUUAAAUGCUUUUGCAAAAACCAUUAUUACCGGCUGAAAAGUAAGUUUGGAUAAAAAAAAAGUGUGCAAUUUAGCUAUAGCAUACAGAGGUUUGAUUUUUCACUUCUCUAGCUGCCCUCAUUUUCCCAAAGUGUGGCCCCUUGUGUGGUUAGCCUCUUCCUUGCGUGGCAUUGUAAGUACAUACACUGAUUAAUUAAUUACACACACUAAUUUUUGGUUGGGCAUAUAUUUAUUUAAGAAAUUUGUGUUGAUUUGUUUGGAAAUAGUAAUUUAGGCUUGUAUAAAUUUGAAAGCAAGAACUAGGUAUAUAAAUGUUUGAACUAUAUUAGUCGGUGUUCUAAAAGUCACUAGUCAGUCCCAUGUCGGUUGGCUACCGACUAGCGACUAGGGGAUUAAUCGGGGAUUAAUCGGCUAGUCGGAUUUUCAAUUUUUUUAAAAACAAUAUAUAUUCUCCUUCCUCCUUCAUAAGUUUUGAAUAAGUAGAAUAACAUAAGUAACACAAAUCAUCAAAUAAAAACAUGAAAACUAAGUAAAACCAAAUAGUAACACAAAUCAACUACGUCGCGUAUUAGAGGCUGCCGAAGACAAAGAUAGUGAUUGAGCCAUUGAUAGUGAUAUUAUACCUAUGCAUAAAAAUAUAAAAUCAGUCAUUUCUCCAAACCCCAGUCAGUUUUAAUAAUUUAAUUUAUAACUGAAGUUGAAACAAUUUAAAAAUUAAAAUGAAAUAUUACAAUUAACUAUUUUAAUUUAUCCAACCUUUUCUUUAAUGCCCACUAAGGAACUAAUUAACUAAAACCAAAUAAAAAUUGUAAACUGUUUACAAAAAAAGUAUAUCAGUAAACUAAUUUAAUUUAUCCAAACUGUUUAAAAAUUAUAUCAGUACCUUAAAUAGUUAAAUCAGUACCUUAUAUAAGUCUUAUAAGCUUAUAAGCCAUUAAGCCUUAUAUCAGUACCUUAUAUCAGUAUUUGUUCUGCGUAGUCGUCGGUGUCGGCGAGAGAAGAAGCGUAGUCGUAGUCGAGAAGAAACAGUAGCGAGCAGCAGCAACAGUAGUCGGCGAACAUCAGCAGCAGUAGUCGGCGAGCAGCAGCAGCAGUAGCGAGAAGAAACAGUAGCGACGUCGGUCGUCGUCGUUGUCGGUCAGGCGAGAAGGAGUCGGCGUCAUCGUCGGUCAGUAUUUUUUCUGCGUAGUCAUCGUCGGUCAGGCGAGAAGGAGUCAGCGUCGUCGGUCGAAGCCUCGAAGGAAGAAGAAGCAGUAGCGUGGAUCGUUCAAUUUUUUUUCCUAAGAAGUAAGAACAAGCAGCAGCAGUCGGGUAGGGUUUAAAAGUUUUCAUAUGUUUUGUUUUUACAUAAAUUACACUAUGGCCCCAAACAUUUCAUAUGUUUUGUUUCUUACCCUCAUAUGCUCCGAUUUGUUCUGAUUUACCCCGACUUUUCCG